rnacentral:rRNA from 1 species
GUGGGGAAUAUUGGACAAUGGGGGCAACCCUGAUCCAGCAAUGCCGCGUGUGUGAAGAAGGUCUUCGGAUUGUAAAGCACUUUCGACGGGGACGAUGAUGACGGUACCCGUAGAAGAAGCCCCGGCUAACUUCGUGCCAGCAGCCGCGGUAAUACGAAGGGGGCUAGCGUUGCUCGGAAUGACUGGGCGUAAAGGGCGCGUAGGCGGCGUGUUUUGUCAGAUGUGAAAUUCCUGGGCUCAACCUGGGGGCUGCAUUUGAAACGGGCAUGCUCGAGUUCGGAAGAGGGUCGUGGAAUUCCCAGUGUAGAGGUGAAAUUCGUAGAUAUUGGGAAGAACACCGGUGGCGAAGGCGGCGACCUGGUCCGGUACUGACGCUGAGGCGCGAAAGCGUGGGGAGCAAACAGG